rnacentral:rRNA from 1 species
UACGUAGGGUGCGAGCGUUGUCCGGAUUUAUUGGGCGUAAAGAGCUCGUAGGCGGUUUGUCGCGUCGGCCGUGAAAUCUCCACGCUUAACGUGGAGCGUGCGGUCGAUACGGGCAGACUUGAGUUCGGUAGGGGAGACUGGAAUUCCUGGUGUAGCGGUGAAAUGCGUAGAUAUCUGGAGGAACACCGGUGGCGAAGGCGGCAUCCUGGACCGGCAUUGACGCUGAGGAGCGAAAGCCAGGGGAGCAAACGGG